GACGUAGGGCGCGAGCGUUGUCCGGAUUUAUUGGGCGUAAAGAGCUCGUAGGCGGCUUGUCGCGUCGUCCGUGAAAACCCGAGGCUCAACCUCGGGCCUGCAUUCGAUACGGGCUGGCUAGAGUACUGCAGGGGAGACUGGAAUUCCUGGUGUAGCGGUGAAAUGCGCAGAUAUCAGGAAGAACACCCGUGGCUAAGGCGGCUCUCUAGUACGGUACUGACGCUGAGACGCGAAAGCGUGGGGAGCGAACAGG
rnacentral:rRNA from 1 species